UACGUGAUUCAUUAUCGGAACCUACAGCAGGCCAUUAAAAACGGACUAGUAGUGGAAAAAGUUCACAGAGUUAUACAGUUUAAUCAGUCAGACUGGCUUAAGAAAUAUAUAGAAUUAAACACUGAGAUGCGAAAAAAAGCUAAAAACGACUUCGAAAAGGACUUUUUCAAACUUUUAAACAACGCUGUUUUCGGGAAGACGAUGGAGAAUUUAAG